rnacentral:lncRNA from 1 species
CCGGCUCAAGAUCCAAAAUAAAUAUCAAAUAACAAAAAUAUUUGCAGAGAAUUGUGAACAAAAAUAAUUAUGGAAGAAAUAAAUUAGGAGAGUAGUAAAUUUAUUCAAAGAAGAAUAAAAAUCAAAAUCUCAUAAAGAUGCCUCAUGAAGGAAUCUCUAUAUGCAAAAAUAAUCUCUCUUCUAUCUUUCUUCCCACACCCUUCAGUAUGUUCUCUACAUGAUUCUACAUGUUAG